GGGGAAAUGCCCCAAUGGACAAAAGUUUGAUGCAGCAAACCCGGCUGGAAGGAGACACCAUUUCGGGGCGUAAACUUCUUUUAUUUAGGAAGAUAAGGACGGUUCUAUAUGAUUAAGCACGGGUUAAUUCCGUGCCAGCAGCCGCGGUAAUACGGAGGGGCCAAGCGUUACUCGGAAUCACUGGGCGUAAAGAGCGUGUAGGCGGGUAUAUAAGUCAGAAGUGAAAUCCAAUAGCUAAACUAUUGAACUGCUUUUGAAACUGUAUACCUAGAAUGUGGGAGAGGUAGAUGGAAUUUCUGGUGUAGGGGUAAAAUCCGUAGAGAUCAGAAGGAAUACCGAUUGCGAAGGCGAUCUACUGGAACAUUAUUGACGCUGAGACGCGAAAGCGUGGGGAGCAAACAGGAUUAGAUACCCUGGUAGUCCACGCCCUAAACGAUGCACACUAGUUGUUGUGAGGCUCGACCUUGCAGUAAUGCAGUUAACACAUUAAGUGUGCCGCCUGGGGAGUACGGUCGCAAGAUUAAAACUCAAAGGAAUAGACGGGGACCCGCACAAGCGGUGGAGCAUGUGGUUUAAUUCGACGAUACACGAAGAACCUUACCUGGACUUGACAUAGUAAGAACUUUCUAGAGAUAGAUUGGUGUCUGCUUGCAGAAACUUAUAUACAGGUGCUGCACGGCUGUCGUCAGCUCGUGUCGUGAGAUGUUGGGUUAAGUCCCGCAACGAGCGCAACCCUCGUCAUUAGUUGCUAACAGUUCGGCUGAGAACUCUAAUGAGACUGCCUACGCAAGUAGGAGGAAGGUGAGGACGACGUCAAGUCAUCAUGGCCCUUACGUCCAGGGCUACACACGUGCUACAAUGGGGUAUACAAAGAGCAGCAAUACGGUGACGUGGAGCAAAUCUCAAAAAUAUCUCCCAGUUCGGAUUGUAGUCUGCAACUCGACUACAUGAAGUUGGAAUCGCUAGUAAUCGUAGAUCAGCUAUGCUACGGUGAAUACGUUCCCGGGUCUUGUACUCACCGCCCGUCACACCAUGGGAGUUGAACUCAUUCGAAGCGGGGAUGCAAAGUAG
rnacentral:rRNA from 1 species